rnacentral:rRNA from 1 species
AGCGAACGCUGGCGGCAUGCCUAACACAUGCAAGUCGCACGGGGGGGCUUCGGCCUCCCAGUGGCGGACGGGUGAGGAACGCGUAGGGACCUGUCGAGGGGUGGGGGAUAACCGCGGGAAACUGCGGCUAAUACCGCAUGACGCCGCGGCGUGACAGCCGGGGCCAAAGGCGAAAGCCGCCCGCCGAGGGGCCUGCGUCCGAUUAGCUGGUUGGCGGGGUAGCGGCCCACCAAGGCGUCGAUCGGUAGCUGGUCUGAGAGGGUGAUCAGCCACACCGGGACUGAGACACGGCGCGGAAUACUACGGGAGGCAGCAGUGGGGAAUAUUGGACAAUGGGCGUAAGCCUGAUCCAGCAAUGCCGCGUGAGUGAAGAAGGUCUUCGGAUUGUAAAGCCCUUUCGGCGGGGACGAUGGUGACGGUACCCGCAGAAGAAGCCCCGGCUAACUUCGUG